CUGCAUUUCUAGCAUAUUUAAUGCAGGAUAUAAAUUAAAGAGUUAGGAAUAUAUUCAAGGCUUUUGGCUUGAGCAACUGGAAAGGCAGAAUUACCAUUAAUGAUAUUUUUCAGGAAUUCCAAUUUGGACAUGUAAGUUUGGAUGUCUACUAGAGAUCCAAGUGGGAGUAUUAAAACAGAGAGUUGGAUACAUGGAUCAGAGCUCAUGAUAGAGGUUCAGGUUGGGGGUGAGGUAGGAUCUAUAAAACUGACCUGGAUUUAGCACUGUAUAGAUUGCUGGUAACUUUGACAGGAACACUUCUGGUAGAACAGUAAGGACAAAUGCCUGAUUGGACUGAGUUUUAAAAGAGAAUGGGAGGAGGAGAGGAAUUGGGAACAGAGCUUACAACAAUUUUCCAAGGAGUUUGGCUACAAAGAAGGAAUAGAGAAAUAGAAUGAUAACUGGGGAGGAAGGUAGUGCUGAGAGGAUAUUUCACUGGGCUGAUGGUGCACGCCUGUAAUCCCAGGGGUAGAAUGCACCAGGGGUGCAAUCCCCAGUACCCCCACCCCACUACCAAAAAAAGAGAGAGAGCAAGAGAGAAAGUGGCUGUAAAUAGGAGUAUGAUCGUGGGCAGGAAGGCAGAACAGGUAGGUGCAGACACUGGUAGGAGCACUGUGUGGUGGUAGAAGUUUAGGGAAGUUCUCAUCUGAUUGCUGCAAUUUUGACAGUGAAGUAGGAAGCAAGGUCACCAGCUGAGAGUGAGGACGAGGGAAGUCCUGUUAGAAUGUACCAAAAAAUGACCUCAUAGAGUGGAAGAAAAAAACGAACAAAGAAAAUGAAAGUAUAACUGGCAGACAUCAUUAAGAGUUCACUCGAGGUUCACAGCCUUGGAUUUAAAGUGAAGCCAGUCAGGGUGCUGUGUGCUGCUUGCAGCCACACUCAGGUGCACAGGCGCAGUCAUGGCUCAGGUGGAGAGCUGGAGUUAAGAAUGAGCAAGUAGGAGGGGGAUGAGGGAAUUGAGGGUGUACACAAGGGAAUAAUUUAAAAGGAAUUCAAACUGGGCAAGAAAGGAAGAUAAACAUUGGGGAAGACGUGUGAGAUUGAGGAAUGGUUGGAUCAAAGAACCUUCUAGAAGGAGUGAGCUGGGAAAGAUAGAAGGGGAUGGUCUGGGAGUGGGUGAAGGUUGCAAUUGGUAAAAAUAGGGUCUAGGGCAGGUCUGCUCAAUAAGUAGGUUGUGAAUGGGUGCCAGGCUGAGCUUCGUGUUACUGAUCUGCACUGAGAUAUAUGAAGAAAUUCAAAGUAAACAUUUAGAAACACCCCUGCAACAUCCAAGCAUGUGAUCAGUGGACUUCUAUUUAGAAUGUCUUUGUUUUUUAAACUUCAUUUGCCUAUUAAUUUGUUAUUGAAUUUUUAAUUUUUACACCAGGGAUUGAACUCAGGGGCACUUAACCACUGAGCCACACCCCCAGUCCCUUUUUGUAUUUUUUAUUUAGAGACAGGGUCUUGCUGAGUUGCUUAGGGCCUUGCUGCAUUGCCAAGGCUGGCUUUGAACUCGGGAUUCUCCUGCCUCAGCCUCCUGAGCCACUGGGAUUAUAGGCAUGUGACACCAAACCCAGCUAUUAUCAAAUUUUUACAAGAGCCUUUGUCUACAACAAAUUGAAUGCAAGCUAACAAAUAACUGGUCAUUUCAGCUGAUCACUGCUGUCCUAUGCAUGGCUAUGCAUAUAAGUACCUCUGCAUUGGCAGAGAGGAGUCAGAAGGACCAGCUCCUUAUAUAAUGAAGUCAUUGUCAUCUUUGGCCUUCCAAGACAGAAGGCCGCCUACUGCACCACUCCAGUGGGCACUGCUCUCACUUUAUGAUACAUGAACACUACAGCUCCAAUAUAGUAUGAAUGUGCUCUUUGAGAAUUCAAGGAAUGGCUGUUGUUAUCUUUGUGUUACAGAUCACAAAAUAAACUCAGAGAGGUUAAGUAGUUUUCCAAACUCAUGCAGCUAUUAAGGGUAGAAACCAAGAUUUGAACCUACAUGUGUCUGUUAGGGCAAAGCUGAAUUUUGACCACAGCACCCAUCCCUAUGUCCCAUGUUUCUGGUUAUAUGGACAGCAUAGUCAUAAACCUUGUGAGAACUGGGGAAACGCCUUUUGGGAAUGUGUAGUAACCCAUCUGACCAUGCCAGACUUUUCAGUUUCUUUUAGAGACACAGCUUGUCACAGCUGCUAUGGUGACCCAUAGCCAAUCACUGCCUAGACCCUGUC
rnacentral:lncRNA from 1 species